rnacentral:rRNA from 1 species
UACGGAGGGAGCUAGCGUUAUUCGGAAUUACUGGGCGUAAAGCGCACGUAGGCGGCUUUGUAAGUUAGAGGUGAAAGCCUGGAGCUCAACUCCAGAACUGCCUUUAAGACUGCAUCGCUUGAAUCCAGGAGAGGUGAGUGGAAUUCCGAGUGUAGAGGUGAAAUUCGUAGAUAUUCGGAAGAACACCAGUGGCGAAGGCGGCUCACUGGACUGGUACUGACGCUGAGGCGCGAAAGCGUGGGGAGCAAACAGG